GAUAGCACCCGUGUGCUUGACAGACGCGUCCAGCUAGCGCGGCUCAGAUGCUUCGCGACGACAUUGCUUGGGGACGGAAUGAUGGAAAGCAGGCCGAAAUGCGAGGACCCCGGCCCGAUCGUCCCCACGCUUUCAUCGAGCCGGUGAUCGACGCGAGCAAGAGCGCCGCCGGUGUAGGAACACGAGCUCCGUUUCUCUCUUGCAGGUCGCGGUCGCGCCGUCGGAUACACCCAAGAAGGCGAAGCACGCCCGGCCGCGGAGGAUCACUGCGGCGAUGGAGAUGGUGCUGGUGAUCUCGCUGCCGCUGGUGGCCCUCGUCGUCAUCGUCGCCAUCAUCCUCUGCAUCCUCUGCCGCUGACCGCAGCACCGCACACACCCGUGCGUCGUCGUUGCGGCAUCGCCGUCGCCCGCUCCGUUCAUCAGCAAUCAGCAUACACCCGAUUGUUUUUGUAACCACAGCGUGAUAGCGUGCGUGCGUGAGUGUGUAUCCACUGGCGUCGGUCGUCCGGUGUGGAUUGUGAUUGGAGUAUUGAUUUAGUUUUGGACCUCUCCUGUCCUUUUCCUCCCCUCCCCCCCUCUCUCUCUCUCUCUUUUUUUUUUAUCUCCGACUCCAAAGGCAUCAGACGCACCGUCGUCUGCACUAGCGUGUCUUCGUAACGAAGGAACCAGAGACUUCUCUCGAGUUUUUGAGUUUUGAUCUGAUUUGCCCACACAGGUGAUUAGGCUACUGAUCAGUACUAUGCUGCAAUAAGCUUGUGAUCUCCGAUCCGGUGUGAUGGCCGAUUAGCUAAUCACCGAGGAGGAUCAGCUACCUACAGCUUAUAGCUGGCCUGGCUUCACUCGCACUGUCAAGCAAGCGCCGUCCAGCUAGGUUCAGGCGCCCGGCGCCAGCCGGUACGUGGCACGCGUUUCUUCCUCCCUCGCCCGACUAAUUUAACGGGCUCCCACCACACAGACACGGGGCCAUCGGCCAUCGCCAUCUCCCUCCCGUUUCUCGGCUCUCUCCACCCCCCCCCCCCCCCCCCCCCCACAACUACUGCGCGCUGUCGCCUCCGUCCCUGAGCUCGCUGCUCCAGCAAGAUCAGCAAGCACACCCGGAAGCGCAGCUCGAUCCGCGCAGGGAGACCGGAUGGAGUUCGUGCUGAUCAUUUCGCUGCCGCUCCUCAUCCUGAUCAUCAUCGUCGCCGUGGUCCUCUGCAUCGUCUGCCGUUAGCUGAAUGCCCUGAAAGAAACAUCCAUCUCUGCUGUGAUCAUACCAUGUGUUAAAUUGACUUUUGUACAUCAUGACCUGAAAAAAAACUCUUUCUUUGCAUUGCCGUGUGAUUAAUCGGCUGUAGCUCUAUCUUUUUUUUUAAUCCCUGGACCCGGGUGCAAAAAGGGCUUCGGUUCUGCGUUUCA